rnacentral:rRNA from 1 species
CCCUUAGAUGUCCUGGGCUGCACGCGCGCUACACUGAUGUGUCCAGUAAGCACCUAACCUCUUCCGAAAGGAACGGGUAACCUUUGCAAAGCACAUCGUGAUGGGGAUAGAUUAUUGCAAUUAUUAGUCUUGAACGAGGAAUUCCUAGUAAGCACAAGUCAUCAGCUUGUGUUGAUUACGUCCCUGCCCUUUGUACACACCGCCCGUCGCUCCUACCGAUUGAACAGUUUAGUGAGGGCCUCGGAUUGGUCUCGGCCCGCUCUUUACCGGGCGGCGCCGUUGGUCGAGAAGACGCUCGAACUUGAUCGUUUAGAGGAAGUAAAAGUCGUAACA